CACAUGUUCAACAUUGUCUCUGCCCAUUACAAAGCUGUCCAAGAGAUGCAACCGUGGUAUUGUCUUGAAAUUGCUGGAGCCAAUGCAUGUACAUAUACAUACUUCCUUAAGCUUGAGCUGUCAAAGAAGAAAAGUUAAAGGAAAUGACCUUCUCAUCCAUCAAAUACUUGACAGGAAUGCUUUCAAUGAUGACGGGAUAGGUGUGGAGAGUGGUCCCUACCCUAUCAGCUGCUGGUUUUGAUGAUGACGGGAUAGGUGGUUAGGUUUAGAAAUGGCCUAGAAGAAAAUGCGUUAUUGGCGCUUGCUUGCUUCAUACGGUAGCAGAAACAGUGGGGUGAUUUUACAUGGUUUUUUCUUUUUGUAUCCCGAGUGGUUGGUUUUAGCAAUUGUGAUCAAGGUCUUAAAUAUCGAUAUUAUUCCCG